AACAAAAAUGUUGCUAUGUUCAGGGUCUUAUAAUGAUAAAAAGAGAGUUCAACCAAUAAAUGCAAAGAAAACAAGUUAAACUAAAAAAAGUCAAACAAAAGUUAGAAAUAGGGAAUAUGUUUAUAAAAAACCCUUUGUCCUCUUUUUGUCCAGUAACGUCUUCCCCUCUUUGUUGGGUACAGUUUGUCCACACACUUCCUGUAUUUAGUAACUUCCUCAGGGGGAACACGUUUUCCUCGUGCCUGACGAAUGUCAGUUCAACAAUUGGCCAGCAGCUGCAGAACCCCAGCAAUUGAUAAUUCCAAGAAAAAAGUCAGAGCAGCUUAACUUCAGAGUAAAAACUGAAGUUUGAACAUACAUGCCUCGAAGUGAAACACCACUUGAGGAUCUGGUGAAUUAAGAAGAAAGAACCAGGCCCUCUCUAGUUUCUCAGGCUGUUGGUGUGCAAAAUUCCCAGUUCUGACUGAGUGCCUGUAUCCAAAACAAAAAGAGGAGUGCAGCGCGGGAUGGGCCCACUGAUGCAGGAAAUGUGUGUUUGACUGUACAUGUUGAGUAAUGUAAAUAGCUCUGUGGUGCCUGUGAAAAUGUUUAGUGUGCAAGCUUUACAGGAAGAGAGCUGUCCCAGGAGCCACUGUCAUGGGAGGACAGAACAACUCUUGAUGUGAAAAAAGUGACAGAUUUUUUAUUUCACGGACAUACUUUCCCACAUAUGUUUAGGGUUUUAUUCUCCCUGAGGCCUGUAAAGCGGGCCUCUGCCAUGUGUGGCAUUGCAGGACAUUCUUCUGAAGAGUUUCCUGGUUGGAAUGGCUCCGGCCUUCAUCACAACAUACACUUACUUCCCUUGAGCGUAUGUGUGGUCAUUACUACUUCCCGAGUUCCACGAAAGCUACUGCUUUCUUUCCUGAAUGCUGCAUCCUUUUUAAAAAACACAGAGAAACUUGACACAUGAAUGCAACACGAGCCAGAAUUUACCAGCAGAAACACUACAAAAGGUUUUCAAGAAACCAAAUUUUAUUUAUUUAACUCAGUAGGGGUGGGAUUAUAUAAGUUCGCUUCUUCGCACUCCUUUUCAAGCAAUAAAUCAA